rnacentral:lncRNA from 1 species
GACGUUCCUUGGCAAUUUGUUAAUUAGUAAUUAAUUAGAGAACAUUCCCUAAUUGGUUUAAUCAUAAGGAGAGAUAAUGGUGGUGAGAAGCGUCUUCCAUCUCCAUAACUAAUCUAUUGAAUCAACCCAAAAGAACAAAAUGUCUGUGAUCAAUCCCAAUGACUAAAGUGGAUCCAAUACUUCAACUAGAACUUUCUUAUUAUUUAUUUCUCUUUUAUUUUAUUAUUCGC